rnacentral:misc_RNA from 1 species
UGCGUGCUUGAUAAGGGGUA